CCCUUCACUGGGAAGAGGGGGAGUAAGCAAAUGACUGUGUGAUGCUGAGCCACCUGCCAGAUUAAACAACAACAGAGAACUUCUUCUGAGACUCCAGGAGAAAAAGAAAGUCUGCCUCCUCUGGAAGAAGGGAUGAGAGAGAGUACAAAGAAGUUGUUAGGAUAUGCAGGGAGAAAUUUAGAAAGGCAAAAGCUAAGCUUGAACUCAGCAUGGACUCUACAGUAAAAGAGAAUAUAAAGCUUUUUUACAAACAUAUUAACAGUAAGAGAAUCUCCUGGAGAGAAUCUCCAGCUUUUACUGGAUGCAGCAGGGAGCUCGUCCCCUCAGCAUAAGGAAAAGGCUGAGGGUCUCAUUGCUUUCUUCACAUCUGUCUUUAAAAGUCAGAACAGUUAUCCUCAGGGCACUCUACUCCCUGACCUGGAAGUCUGGGAUGGGGAACAGAAUAAAUCACCCUUGAUUCAGGUGGAAACAGUUAGAGAUAUACUUCACUACCUGUCAUAUUUUCACCAGCUUCAGAAUUUACUGGACUAGGCCUGAAUGUGAUUUUUAAAAUAUCAUUGUGAGACCUUUGAACAAAAGUAGGACAAAGUGCCUACAUUUUCCUCAUGUAGGCACUUUGCCCUACAUGAGGAAAAUAAAUUUUCUAUUUUUUGGUAGAACUGGAAAGGGAACUUUUGAUUGCAUAUCCAAAAUGCUAAACACGAAAGCAGUUCUUUAACAAAUACAAAAAUGAUUCCAUCUGUGAAAUUCUAGGCUGAGAGUAGGUCUUAUAACCCUUUAUUGGACAGAAGCAGAAAAUAAGUUGCAGGUGUUUUGUCGAUUGGUUAGUUGAUUUUGGUUUGGUGGUUUUUUUUUUCACUUUGCUUUGUAGUUAUGCAAAUCUGUUCUAUUCAAACUCAAUAAUCUUCAGCCUUUUUUUACAUUUUAUUUGUUAUCUUUAUGAGUCUUACAGCUAAACCCCCAAAUGCAUAUAAUGUCAUAUGAGCUAAAAAUAAAAAGCAGAAAGUGCCAGCAGGGCUCAGAAAGUUUGCUAUGGUUCCAAGAUAAUUAAGGUUCUUCUGCUUGCAAAUAAAAACAGAAUCACAUCCCUGGAUGUGACUUUUUGCCAUGUAUUCCUACUAAUUCAGUGGGAAGUAUGGCAAAAUGGAAAAAAUAAAAAUAAAAAAUCUGCAACAGUUUUAGAUUCAGCAGUUGAAGAAGUACACCUAUUUCUCCUGUCAUGGUGCACGCAGUUCCAAAAGAAUGCUGUUACUUAGAAUAUGUUUGUCAAUGGUUUACAUGCCAGUUGGGCCCAGUUAGGUGCCUAAGGGGGCAGGAGGACCCACAGACCCAGGAAAAGGGAGAAAGGGAAAAAGGGGAAAGGGUAGGGAUGGGCCUAAACACAAAACAGCAACAAUCUGAGGAGAAAAGUUAAUUUACUAAAUAAGAUAUUAUAAUGCAAGAUAACCCAAUAUAAAUACAAUAUAAUUGGAAUUGAAGCUAAUAAAUCAAAUAAAAUAAGAGAGUGUCCAAAAACUGAAGGCCUUUCUCUAACGCUGAAGGCAAGACAGCUAGGAAGCACGUACACUACAGAGAUGAGCAGUGAGGGAAAAAGG
ensembl:lncRNA